rnacentral:rRNA from 1 species
CAGCAGCCGCGGUAAUACCGGCGGCCCGAGUGGCGGUCACUAUUAUUGGGCUUAAAACGUCCGUAGCCGGGUUGGGAAGUCCUCCGGGAAAUCUGGCCGCUUAACGGUCAGAAUGCCGGAGGAUACUCCCAGCCUAGGGAGCGGGAGAGGCCGAGGGGAUUCCCGGAGUAGGGGUGAAAUCCUAUAAUCCCGGGAGGACCACCUGUGGCGAAGGCGCUCGGCUGGAACGCGUCCGACGGUGAGGGACGAAGGCCAGGGGAGCACACCGGAUUAGAUACCCGGGUAGUCCUGGCUGUAAACGAUGCGGACUUUGUGUCGGACAAGCUAUGAGCUUGUCCGGUGCCGGAGGGAAACCGUUAAGUCCGCCGCCUGGGGAGUACGGCCGCAAGGUUGAAACUUAAAGGAAUUGGCGGG